CGCGCAGGCGGUCGUAUAAGUCGAAUGUGAAAGCCCCCGGCUCAACUGGGGAGGGUCAUUCGAUACUGUUCGACUCGAAGGCAGGAGAGGGAAGUGGAAUUCCGGGUGUAGUGGUGAAAUGCGUAGAUAUCCGGAGGAACACCAGUGGCGAAGGCGACUUUCUGGCCUGUUCUUGACGCUGAGGCGCGAAAGCUAGGGGAGGCAAACG
rnacentral:rRNA from 1 species